AACGUAAAUUCGGAACUCCGGAUCAGAUUCGCAAAGACUGGAAAAUGAGAUACCCUUCUUACUUUCAGCCGAGGCAUCGACCCACUUGGUUUCUAGGAGUUCCUUGAUCACAGGAAAAUGCUUAUUCUGGAUUGCAAGAUGAAGGGGAGUGCUUCCAUUCUCAUCGGUUCUGUUUAGAAGCUUUCUCAUCUCUGGAAAUUUCAGUAACUCUCGGACAGAGUCAAGAUUGCCAGAUGCAGCGGCAAGGUGAAGCGGGUGGCGGCCAUCCCCGUCAAGCAAUUCCAUGGAGUCUGGGCAGAAAUCAAGUCCUACAGGAAACCGAUCCUAACAUUCUAAAGGGAUUCUGGAGCAUAGUUGUUUUUGUUAGUUUAUGUAAGUUCUUGUAUAUGUAAUGGGCUUUGGCCAAGUUGUCUUUUUGAGGAACUGUAAUAGCAGGUUAUGUUUUUAGUACGUAUGGAUGUAUAUGAGGAAACAGUUAGAAACUCUGGUAAGUUUUAUUAGAUUAUGUAUGUUUAAGUUUUUCGCUAUGUAUGAUUAUGUAGAUCAACAUGGAACACCCGAUUUCCCUUAUUUGGGUGGGAUGUACA